CAGCACAUGAAAACGAGUCCAUUUCUGAAAGUUUGGUGGAGUUCAUUGAAACGUCAAAUGUUGGUGAAUUUAAGAGACGUCUUCAGCUUCUCUUUUGCUUCCUUCUUCAAUUAUAUCUGGGUAGCUCGUUGGGAAUAUAUUCAAGUGAUUCACACAAGAGAAAGUUGGAAAUUUGCUACAAUAUUUUUGGAUUCUAUAUUCAGUUCCUGCCUCUUGUAAUGGAGC